rnacentral:rRNA from 1 species
UGAGUUAGUGGCGGACGGGUGAGUAACGCGUGGAAAACCUGCCGUAUACUGGGGGAUAAGCGGAAGAAAUUCCGUCUAAUACCGCAUAACACCUUUAGGAGACAUCUUCUUGGGGUCAAAGGAGGCGACUCCGGCAUAGGAUGGCCAUGCGUCGCAUUAGCUAGUCGGCGGGGUAACGGCCCACCGAGGCGACGAUGCGUAGGGGUUCUGAGAGGAAGGUCCCCCACACUGGUACUGAGACACGGACCAGACUCCUACGGGAGGCAGCAG